GCCCUCGCGACUCUGGGAUAAGCCUGGGAAACUGGGUCUAAUACCGGAUAGGACCAUGCUUUAGUGUGUGUGGUGGAAAGUUUUUUCGGUGUAGGAUGAGCCCGCGGCCUAUCAGCUUGUUGGUGGGGUAAUGGCCUACCAAGGCGGCGACGGGUAGCCGGACUGAGAGGUUGGUCGGCCACAUUGGGACUGAGAUACGGCCCAG
rnacentral:rRNA from 1 species